rnacentral:rRNA from 1 species
CAAUAGCGUAUAUUAUUGAUGUUGCAGUUGAAAUGUUCGUAGUCGAACUUUAUGUGCUUGGAUACUAUAACAUCUUUGAUGUGAUAGUGUUUUCAGCACAGAUCAUGCAAACCAAUACCAUAUGUUUCAUAUGGUUGUUUGAUUUGCAUCUUACUUUAAGUGAAUCGGCGUGUUCCACGCAGGCAUGUGCCUUGAACGAUUUACCAUAGCAUAAAUAGAGUAUGGAAGUAUUUGUUUGCUUGUUCACGGAUAUUUUUGAUGGGCAUUCGUAUUCAACUGCUAGAGGUGAAAUUCUUUGAUUAGUUGAGGACGAACUAUUGCGAAAGCAUCUGCCAUGGACGUUUCUUUUGA